rnacentral:rRNA from 1 species
UACGGGGGGGGCAAGCGUUGUUCGGAAUUACUGGGCGUAAAGGGCUCGUAGGCGGCCAACUAAGUCAGACGUGAAAUCCCUCGGCUUAACCGGGGAACUGCGUCUGAUACUGGCGGUCUCGAGUCCGGGAGAGGUGAGUGGAACUGCGAGUGUAGAGGUGAAAUUCGUAGAUAUUCGCAAGAACACCAGUGGCGAAGGCGGCUCUCUGGGACGGUACUGACGCUGAGACGCGAAAGCGUGGGGAGCGAACAGG